AUUACGAAAGCAAUAGCCCCUUCGGGGGUUAUCGCAUCCACCCUUUGUCUACGUGUACCUCUGUUGUUUCCUCGGCGGGCUUGCCCGCCGCUAGGAACCCCUUAAACUCUUGUAUUUACAGUAUUAAAAUCUCUGAUAACUAUUUAAAUUAUUA
rnacentral:misc_RNA from 1 species